AUUGAACGCUGGCGGCAUGCCUAACACAUGCAAGUCGAACGGCAGCGCGGGGGCAACCCUGGCGGCGAGUGGCGGACGGGUGAGGAAUGCAUAGGAAUCUGCCCGGUUGUGGGGGAUAACGUAGGGAAACUUACGCUAAUACCGCAUACGACCUUCGGGUGAAAGUGGGGGACCUUCGGGCCUCACGCGAUCGGAUGAGCCUAUGCCCGAUUAGCUAGUUGGCGGGGUAAGAGCCCACCAAGGCGACGAUCGGUAGCUGGUCUGAGAGGAUGAUCAGCCACACUGGGACUGAGACACGGCCCAGACUCCUACGGGAGGCAGCAGUGGAGAAUAUUGGACAAUGGGCGCAAGCCUGAUCCAGCAAUGCCGCGUGUGUGAAGAAGGCCUUCGGGUUGUAAAGCACUUUUGUUCGGGAAGAAAUCCGUGUGGUUAAUACCCGUACGGGAUGACGGUACCGAAAGAAUAAGCACCGGCUAACUUCGUG
rnacentral:rRNA from 1 species